rnacentral:rRNA from 1 species
CAGAGGGUGCGAGCGUUGUUCGGAAUUACUGGGCGUAAAGCGCGCGCAGGCGGCCCUUUAAGUCUGUCGGUCAAAUGCCGGGGCUCAACCCCGUGCUCGCCGGAGAUACUGGAGGGCUGGAGACAUGUAGAGGCAAGCGGAAUUCCGGGUGUAGCGGUGGAAUGCGUAGAGAUCCGGAAGAACACCGGAGGCGAAGGCGGCUUGCUGGGCAUUGUCUGACGCUGAGGCGCGAAAGCGUGGGGAGCGAACAGGAUUAGAUACCCUGGUAGUCCACGCCGUAAACGAUGGGCACUAGACGCGGGGGGGAUCGACCCUCUCCGUGUCGAAGCUAACGCGAUAAGUGCCCCGCCUGGGGAGUACGGCCGCAAGGCUG